rnacentral:rRNA from 1 species
AGAACGAACGCUGGCGGCAGGCUUAACACAUGCAAGUCGAGCGCCCCGCAAGGGGAGCGGCAGACGGGUGAGUAACGCGUGGGAACAUACCCUCCGGUUCGGAAUAGCUCAGGGAAACUUGGAUUAAUACCGGAUACGGUCGAGAGGCGAAAGAUUUAUCGCCGGAGGAUUGGCCCGCGUUCGAUUAGCUAGUUGGUGGGGUAACGGCUCACCAAGGCGACGAUCGAUAGCUGGUCUGAGAGGAUGAUCAGCCACAUUGGGACUGAGACACGGCCCAAACUCCUACGGGAGGCAGCAGUGGGGAAUAUUGGACAAUGGGCGCAAGCCUGAUCCAGCCAUGCCGCGUGAGUGAUGACGGCCUUAGGGUUGUAAAGCUCUUUCGCUAGGGACGAUAAUGACGGUACCUAGACAAGAAGCCCCGGCUAACUUCGUGCCAGCAGCCGC